rnacentral:rRNA from 1 species
AGGACGAACGCUAGCGGCGUGCCUAAGGUAUGCAAGUCGAACGGGGAAGCAAUUCCUAGUGGCGAACGGUCGAGUAACACGUAGACAACCUGCCUCCCAGCGGGGGAUACCAGCGGGAAACCGCUGCUAAUACCGCAUUCGAUCCGCAGGGAUAGCCCUGUUGGAUGAAAGCCGCUUGCGGCACUGGGAGAUGGGUCUGCGGCCUAUCAGCUCGUUGGUGGGGUAACGGCCCACCAAGGCGACGACGGGUAGCUGGUCUGAGAGGAUGAUCAGCCGGACGGGGACUGAGACACGGCCCCGACUCCUUCGGGAGGCAGCAAUGAGGAAUCUUGCGCAAUGGGGGCAACCCUGACGCAGCGACGCCGCGUGGGUGAGGAAGUCCUUCGGAGUGUAAAGCCCGUUUCUUGGGGGACGAGAACGGACGGUACCCGAGAAGAAGACCCGGCUAACUACGUGCCAGCAGCCGC